GGGACACGUGGUAUCCUGUCUGAAUAUGGGGGGACCAUCCUCCAAGGCUAAAUACUCCUGACUGACCGAUAGUGAACCAGUACCGUGAGGGAAAGGCGAAAAGAACCCCGGCGAGGGGAGUGAAAAAGAACCUGAAACCGUGUACGUACAAGCAGUGGGAGCACAGAGCAAUCUGUGUGACUGCGUACCUUUUGUAUAAUGGGUCAGCGACUUAUAUUCUGUAGCAAGGUUAACCGAAUAGGGGAGCCGAAGGGAAACCGAGUCUUAACUGGGCGUUAAGUUGCAGGGUAUAGACCCGAAACCCGGUGAUCUAGCCAUGGGCAGGUUGAAGGUUGGGUAACACUAACUGGAGGACCGAACCGACUAAUGUUGAAAAAUUAGCGGAUGACUUGUGGCUGGGGGUGAAAGGCCAAUCAAACCGGGAGAUAGCUGGUUCUCCCCGAAAGCUAUUUAGGUAGCGCCUCGUGAAUUCAUCUCCGGGGGUAGAGCACUGUUUCGGCAAGGGGGUCAUCCCGACUUACCAACCCGAUGCAAACUGCGAAUACCGGAGAAUGUUAUCACGGGAGACACACGGCGGGUGCUAACGUCCGUCGUGAAGAGGGAAACAACCCAGACCGCCAGCUAAGGUCCCAAAGUCAUGGUUAAGUGGGAAACGAUGUGGGAAGGCCCAGACAGCCAGGAUGUUGGCUUAGAAGCAGCCAUCAUUUAAAGAAAGCGUAAUAGCUCACUGGUCGAGUCGGCCUGCGCGGAAGAUGUAACGGGGCUAAACCAUGCACCGAAGCUGCGGCAGCGACGCUUAUGCGUUGUUGGGUAGGGGAGCGUUCUGUAAGCCUGUGAAGGUGUGCUGUGAGGCAUGCUGGAGGUAUCAGAAGUGCGAAUGCUGACAUAAGUAACGAUAAAGCGGGUGAAAAGCCCGCUCGCCGGAAGACCAAGGGUUCCUGUCCAACGUUAAUCGGGGCAGGGUGAGUCGACCCCUAAGGCGAGGCCGAAAGGCGUAGUCGAUGGGAAACAGGUUAAUAUUCCUGUACUUGGUGUUACUGCGAAGGGGGGACGGAGAAGGCUAUGUUGGCCGGGCGACGGUUGUCCCGGUUUAAGCGUGUAGGCUGGUUUUCCAGGCAAAUCCGGAAAAUCAAGGCUGAGGCGUGAUGACGAGGCACUACGGUGCUGAAGCAACAAAUGCCCUGCUUCCAGGAAAAGCCUCUAAGCAUCAGGUAACAUCAAAUCGUACCCCAAACCGACACAGGUGGUCAGGUAGAGAAUACCAAGGCGCUUGAGAGAACUCGGGUGAAGGAACUAGGCAAAAUGGUGCCGUAACUUCGGGAGAAGGCACGCUGAUAUGUAGGUGAAGUCCCUCGCGGAUGGAGCUGAAAUCAGUCGAAGAUACCAGCUGGCUGCAACUGUUUAUUAAAAACACAGCACUGUGCAAACACGAAAGUGGACGUAUACGGUGUGACGCCUGCCCGGUGCCGGAAGGUUAAUUGAUGGGGUUAGCGGUAACGCGAAGCUCUUGAUCGAAGCCCCGGUAAACGGCGGCCGUAACUAUAACGGUCCUAAGGUAGCGAAAUUCCUUGUCGGGUAAGUUCCGACCUGCACGAAUGGCGUAAUGAUGGCCAGGCUGUCUCCACCCGAGACUCAGUGAAAUUGAACUCGCUGUGAAGAUGCAGUGUACCCGCGGCAAGACGGAAAGACCCCGUGAACCUUUACUAUAGCUUGACACUGAACAUUGAGCCUUGAUGUGUAGGAUAGGUGGGAGGCUUUGAAGUGUGGACGCCAGUCUGCAUGGAGCCGGCCUUGAAAUACCACCCUUUAAUGUUUGAUGUUCUAACGUUGGCCCCUGAUCGGGGUUGCGGACAGUGUCUGGUGGGUAGUUUGACUGGGGCGGUCUCCUCCUAAAGAGUAACGGAGGAGCACGAAGGUUGGCUAAUCCUGGUCGGACAUCAGGAGGUUAGUGCAAUGGCAUAAGCCAGCUUGACUGCGAGCGUGACGGCGCGAGCAGGUGCGAAAGCAGGUCAUAGUGAUCCGGUGGUUCUGAAUGGAAGGGCCAUCGCUCAACGGAUAAAAGGUACUCCGGGGAUAACAGGCUGAUACCGCCCAAGAGUUCAUAUCGACGGCGGUGUUUGGCACCUCGAUGUCGGCUCAUCACAUCCUGGGGCUGAAGUAGGUCCCAAGGGUAUGGCUGUUCGCCAUUUAAAGUGGUACGCGAGCUGGGUUUAGAACGUCGUGAGACAGUUCGGUCCCUAUCUGCCGUGGGCGCUGGAGAACUGAGGGGGGCUGCUCCUAGUACGAGAGGACCGGAGUGGACGCAUCACUGGUGUUCGGGUUGUCAUGCCAAUGGCACUGCCCGGUAGCUAAAUGCGGAAGAGAUAAGUGCUGAAAGCAUCUAAGCACGAAACUUGCCCCGAGAUGAGUUCUCCCUGACUCCUUGAGAGUCCUGAAGGAACGUUGAAGACGACGACGUUGAUAGGCCGGGUGUGUAAGCGCAGCGAUGCGUUGAGCUAACCGGUACUAAUGAACCGUGAGGCUUAACCUU
rnacentral:rRNA from 1 species